GGUUGGACUGGAAACCAACAGGACAGUAGAUCUCCAGGAAGAGGGUUGGACUGGAAACCAACAGGACAGUAGAUCUCCAGGAAGAGGGUUGGACUGGAAACCAACAGGACAGUAGAUCUCCAGGAAGAGGGUUGGACUGGAAACCAACAGGACAGUAGAUCUCCAGGAAGAGGGUUGGACUGGAAACCAACAGGACAGUAGAUCUCCAGGAAGAGGGUUGGACUGGAAACCAACAGGACAGUAGAUCUCCAGGAAGAGGGUUGGACUGGAAACCAACAGGACAGUAGAUCUCCAGGAAGAGGGUUGAACUGGAAACCAACAGGACAGUAG